UACGGAGGGUGCAAGCGUUAAUCGGAAUUACUGGGCGUAAAGCGCACGCAGGUGGCUGAGUCAGUCGAUUGUGAAAGCCCUGGGCUUAACCUAGGAAUUGCAGUCGAUACUACUCAGCUAGAGUAUGGGAGAGGGCAGUGGAAUUCCCGGUGUAGCGGUGAAAUGCGUAGAUAUCGGGAGGAACAUCAGUGGCGAAGGCGGCUGCCUGGCCCAAUACUGACACUCAGGUGCGACAGCGUAGGGAGCAAACAGG
rnacentral:rRNA from 1 species